rnacentral:rRNA from 1 species
UACCGAGUUUACNACUCCCAAACCCAAUGUGAACGUUACCAAACUGUUGCCUCGGCGGGAUCUCUGCCCCGGGUGCGUCGCAGCCCCGGACCAAGGCGCCCGCCGGAGGACCAACCAAAACUCUUAUUGUAUACCCCCUCGCGGGUUUUUUUAUAAUCUGAGCCUUCUCGGCGCCUCUCGUAGGCGUUUCGAAAAUGAAUCAAAACUUUCAACAACGGAUCUCUUGGUUCUGGCAUCGAUGAAGAACGCAGCGAAAUGCGAUAAGUAAUGUGAAUUGCAGAAUUCAGUGAAUCAUCGAAUCUUUGAACGCACAUUGCGCCCGCCAGUAUUCUGGCGGGCAUGCCUGUCCGAGCGUCAUUUCAACCCUCGAACCCCUCCGGGGGGUCGGCGUUGGGGAUCGGCCCUCCCUUAGCGGGUGGCCGUCUCCGAAAUACAGUGGCGGUCUCGCCGCAGCCUCUCCUGCGCAGUAGUUUGCACACUCGCAUCGGGAGCGCGGCGCGUCCACAGCCGUUAAACACACCCAACUUCUGAAAUGUUGACCUCGGAUCAGGUAGGAAUACCCGCUGAACUUAAGCAUAUCAAUAAGCGGAGGAAAAGAAACCAACAGGGAUUGCCCNCAGUAACGGCGAGUGAAGCGGCAACAGCUCAAAUUUGAAAUCUGGNCCCUAGGGCCCGAGUUGUAAUUUGUAGAGGAUGCUUUUGGUGAGGUGCCGCCCGAGUUCCCUGGAAACGGGACGNCACAGANGGUGAGAGCCCCGUCUGGCUGG